rnacentral:rRNA from 1 species
CACGUAGUUAGCCGGUGCUUCUUCUCAACCUACCGUCACAAAAGCUUCGUCGGUUGCGAAGGGAGUUUACAACCCGAAGGCCGUCAUCCCCCACGCGGCGUCGCUGCAUCAGGCUUGCGCCCAUUGUGCAAUAUUCCCCACUGCUGCCUCCCGUAGGAGUCUGGGCCGUAUCUCAGUCCCAAUGUGGCCGUACACCCUCUCAGGCCGGCUACCCGUCGACGCCUUGGUAGGCCAUUACCCCACAACAAGCUGAUAGGCCGCGAGCUCAUCCCAUACCGCAAAAGCUUUCCACAAUCGCAUCCAAACAAUUGUCAUAUUCGGUAUUAGACCCAGUUUCCCAGCUUAUCCCAAAGUACAGGGCAGAUCACCCACGUGUUACUCACCCGUUCGCCACUCGACGUACCCUGCAAGCAGGGUCCUUUCCGUCGACUUGCAUGUGUUAGCACGCCGCCAGCGUUCAUCGUGACGUCCAGGACUACAAACUCUA